rnacentral:rRNA from 1 species
GAUGAACGCUGGCGGCGUGCUUAACACAUGCAAGUCGAACGGAAAGGCUCCUGCUUGCAUGGGUACUCGAGUGGCGAACGGGUGAGUAACACGUGGGUGAUCUGCCCUUCACUUCGGGAUAAGCCUUGGAAACUGGGUCUAAUACCGGAUAGGACCACAUUUUGGAUGUUGUGGUGGAAAGUUUUUCGGUGUGGGAUGAGCUCGCGGCCUAUCAGCUUGUUGGUGGGGUAAUGGCCUACCAAGGCGUCGACGGGUAGCCGGCCUGAGAGGGUGUACGGCCACAUUGGGACUGAGAGACGGCCCAGACUCCUACGGGAGGCAGCAGUGGGGAAUAUUGCACAAUGGGGGCAAGCCUGAUGCAGCGACGCCGCGUGGGGGAUGACGGCCUUCGGGUUGUAAACUCCUUUCGAUAGGGACGAAGAGCAAGUGACGGUACCUGGAGAAGAAGCACCGGCUAACUACGUG